rnacentral:rRNA from 1 species
UUAAGUCAGGCAACAAGCAAGACCCGUGCCCACAGUUGCCAGCAUCUUCGCAAGAAGGAUGGGCACACUGUGGGGACCGCCGCUGCUAAAGCGGAGGAAGGAGCGGGCUACGGUAGGUCAGUAUGCCCCGAAUGGCCCGGGCUACACGCGGGCUACAAUGGUUGGGACAAUGGGCACCAACACCGAGAGGUGACGGUAAUCUCCUAAACCCAGCCUUAGUUCGGAUUGAGGGCUGCAACUCGCCCUCAUGAAGCCGGAAUCCGUAGUAAUCGCGUAUCAACAUCACGCGGUGAAUACGUCCCUGCUCCUUGCACA